GAUCUUUCGGGACCUCUCGCUCAAGGGGCGGCCGAUGGCAGAUUAGCUAGUUGGUGGGGUAAAGGCCUACCAAGGCGACGAUCUGUAGCUGGUCUGAGAGGACGACCAGCCACACUGGGACUGAGACACGGCCCAGACUCCUACGGGAGGCAGCAGUGGGGAAUUUUGGACAAUGGGCGCAAGCCUGAUCCAGCAAUGCCGCGUGUGUGAAGAAGGCCUUCGGGUUGUAAAGCACUUUUGUCCGGAAAGAAAUCCCUUGCCCUAAUACGGCGGGGGGAUGACGGUACCGGAAGAAUAAGCACCGGCUAACUACGUGCCAGCAGCCGCGGUAAUACGUAGGGUGCAAGCGUUAAUCGGAAUUACUGGGCGUAAAGCGUGCGCAGGCGGUUCGCUAAGACAGAUGUGAAAUCCCCGGGCUUAACCUGGGAACUGCAUUUGUGACUGGCGGGCUAGAGUAUGGCAGAGGGGGGUAGAAUUCCACGUGUAGCAGUGAAAUGCGUAGAGAUGUGGAGGAAUACCGAUGGCGAAGGCAGCCCCCUGGGCCAAUACUGACGCUCAU
rnacentral:rRNA from 1 species